UACAGGACAAGUAGAAUAUGGCAGAGAUGGAAUUUGAACCCAAGCAAUCAAAUUCAAAAGACUAUACUCUAAAGCAAUGGCACUCAGGGAGUGAUCCAUCAGUGCCUGUGCACAACAAGGUCCACAACCUGGCAUUUAGUGGUAGGCCUGGAGCUGCUCUUGGUCAACAGUGUCAGAAGUUGGGAAGAAGAGCUGCAUAUCAAGCAGAAGAGAAUGAGAAGAAACAGGAACCCACUUCUGCAUCUGUCUAUAGCAACAUCUGACUAUAACGACCUUCAAAAGAUAAUGGCUGUUGCUUCAUUUCCAACCCUCCAAAUCUCAAGUAGCCUUGUGAUUACAUUGGGCUUACCCAGAUCCAGAUCAUCUAGGAUAAUCUCUCUACCCAAGAUCUUUAAUGUAAUCACACCUGCAAAGUCCCUUUUGGGAAGAAAGGUUGUAGAGAAGGUACUGUUCCCAUUGAAAUCAGUAACGGCCAUGUGACCUGAUUCGACUCAUGAAAUGUAAGUGGAAGAUGAAUGUAGACUUUAUGUGCAGAGGCUUUAAGAGUUAUGAGAUAAUUGUCAUACUCUCGUUCAUAAUCUUUGUACCUCAGUGAUUAGCAACACUCACUGUCAUGGCUUCUUCAUCAUCCUGGGUCCUAGAGUGAAGUCCUAGAGCCCAUUAUCAACCCAUGCUAAAUAUGUAGGAUAAGCAAGAAAUAAGAUCUUCCUGCUUGAAGCCACUGAUAUUUUGGACUUUUUGUUACUGCAGCAACAUCAUGCCUAUCCUGACUGAUACAUGGUAUAUAAUCAUUCCUAAUAUUUUCCUAAUAUUUGUAAUUUAUACAAUUUCAUUUGUUUGUUUACUAUCAUAAUUAUAUAAUUAUACAAUAGUUACUUAUACAAUUUUAUCUGUUUACUGUCAUAAUUAUUCCAAAAAUUGUGACCAGUUUCUUCAUAUUAAUUGCCAUCAUCUCUUUUCUUACAGCGUGGACUUUUUCAUAGUCUCAAUGGGAUGUUUAUCUAAAAUGCAUACAUUCCUAAAUGAAGAGUGCCCUUGUCUUCACUGUAUAUUGUGUUAUUGUUAGAACUUUCAAACAUGCUAAAGAAGCUGAUAAGUCUAAGUUCACAUCAAUAAUUACAUUAUUCAACAACCUGAGAGAAGUGAAGCCAGGUUGAGUGUAGUCCCAGUAGAGAGAUGUUUUCUAUGUUCUCUUUCUUUUGUGUUUAGUAAAGGUACUUCACCAGAGGUCAAUUUUCUGUACCAAUUUCUGUUUGGCUGGAGCAGAUUCCAGCUGUGUCUGUGCUUGGUCUCCCACCUGAUGCCACCACAUCAAAGGGAAGCCCAUAUUACACUGGAAACAAGGCCCUGCUUCCCUGCUGAGUUUUGUGUUUUGUGACGUUCCCAAGCAAAAUUCGAAAUCUUCCUGUUUCAAUUUUUGUAAUGUGUAUCAUUAAAAUAAUACUCUCACAUGUGAAUAAAUCAAAUACUAAGAUUAGCCUAUCCUAAUUUCUAUACCUCCUACCCCCAUACGUGUUUAAACCUGUAGUCCCACUCUCCAGGAGAAACCUCUUUUUUUUUAUUGGUAAUAUAGGUGUUAAUUUUUGAUAUUUUUAAUAUCUCAAAUAAAGAAAAAGAAAGAAAGAAAGUAAAAUUACUUGUUAAAAAUCAGUUCAAAUUAAAAUUCACUAUAAUGGUUAAAACAGCUAACAUGUAUUGAAUGAUUAUGCUCUAGGCACUGUGGAAAAACCUCUUUAACAUGUUCCUGUUACCUCCAAAAUACUAGAUAAUAAACUUACAUCUCUGUAACUUUAUUUAAACACUCCGG
rnacentral:lncRNA from 10 species